rnacentral:rRNA from 1 species
AACGAACGCUGGCGGCAGGCUUAACACAUGCAAGUCGAGCGCUCCGCAAGGGGAGCGGCAGACGGGUGAGUAACGCGUGGGAAUCUACCCAUCUCUACGGAAUAACGCAUGGAAACGUGUGCUAAUACCGUAUACGUCCUUCGGGAGAAAGAUUUAUCGGAGAUGGAUGAGCCCGCGUUGGAUUAGCUAGUUGGUGGGGUAAAGGCCUACCAAGGCGACGAUCCAUAGCUGGUCUGAGAGGAUGAUCAGCCACACUGGGACUGAGACACGGCCCAGACUCCUACGGGAGGCAGCAGUGGGGAAUAUUGGACAAUGGGCGCAAGCCUGAUCCAGCCAUGCCGCGUGAGUGAUGAAGGCCCUAGGGUUGUAAAGCUCUUUCACCGGUGAAGAUAAUGACGGCAACCGGAGAAGAAGCCCCGGCUAACUUCGUGCCAGCCGCCGCAGUAAAAC